rnacentral:rRNA from 1 species
AGUGAACGCUGGCGGUAGGCCUAACACAUGCAAGUCGAACGGCAGCAUAGGAGAGCUUGCUCUCUGGGUGGCGAGUGGCGGACGGGUGAGGAAUACAUCGGAAUCUACUCUGUCGUGGGGGAUAACGUAGGGAAACUUACGCUAAUACCGCAUACGACCUACGGGUGAAAGCAGGGGACCUUCGGGCCUUGCGCGAUUGAAUGAGCCGAUGUCGGAUUAGCUAGUUGGCGGGGUAAAGGCCCACCAAGGCGACGAUCCGUAGCUGGUCUGAGAGGAUGAUCCGCCACACUGGAACUGAGACACUGUCCAGACUCCUACGGGAGGCAGCAGUGGGGAAUAUUGGACAAUGGGCGCAAGCCUGAUCCAGCCAUACCGCGUGGGUGAAGAAGGCCUUCGGGUUGUAAAGCCCUUUUGUUGGGAAAGAAAUCCAGCUGGCUAAUACCCGGUUGGGAUGACGGUACCCAAAGAAUAAGCACCGGCUAACUUCGUGCCAGCCGCCGCCGUAA